AUCAGGUGUUUGCUGAGAAGGUGAGAGACCAUAAGGAGUUGGUUUCGAGAUGGGCCGUUCUACAAGAGACACGGGUUGAGUAUUUCAGAGGGAAGGAUUUUGUUAUGGAUGAUUUAUGGGUGUUGGUUGCAUUAGACGAUGAUUAUUAUCCUGAAAGAGGUUCGGUUUCAAAAAGUAAACGGGGUUGCAGAAUGAUGUUUUUUCAAACUUAAGGCUGGAAUAAAAGUGGGUUUCUUGUCAUUUUCAUUAGUUUAUUUCAUAAUAAAGGAUUCCAGGGACUUUGAUGUUGUUGUUAUCAUGGAGAUUGAUGUUGAAUGCCUGACUUAAUUGACUAUUCAUGCUGCAGCAAUUUUCCAAUUCAGCCAAUACUCAGAUAAGUUUAACAGAUCUUAAGUUACUAUUUGAGAAUCGAAAUAGAUGCAGGGUACAUAUACAAAAAUUUAUCAAAUGUAUUCUUUUUUUCAUUGCUUUGUAACUAGAUUUUAUGCUAGUUUUUCACAGGUAUUUUACAUGUAGCAAACCAAUGUCGGGUUCACUAUGUCAUGAGUUUCAAGAAGCCAAAACUUUUGCAUCAUAGGAAAUGUUUUUGCCAUAUGAGAAUCGAGGGCUUUAACAGGUGCGGGAAAGUUCGGCUACUUGAAGAUUCGUCGGUGGGAUACAAAAAA